UACGAAGGGGGCUAGCGUUGCUCGGAAUCACUGGGCGUAAAGCGCACGUAGGCGGGUCCUUAAGUCAGGGGUGAAAUCCCGGAGCUCAACUCCGGAACUGCCUUUGAUACUGGGAAGCUUGAGUCCGGAAGAGGUGAGUGGAACUCCGAGUGUAGAGGUGAAAUUCGUAGAUAUUCGGAAGAACACCAGUGGCGAAGGCGGCUCACUGGUCCGGUACUGACGCUGAGGUGCGAAAGCGUGGGGAGCAAACAGG
rnacentral:rRNA from 1 species